rnacentral:rRNA from 1 species
UACGGGGGGGGCAAGCGUUGUUCGGAAUUACUGGGCGUAAAGGGCUCGUAGGUGGCCAACUACGUCAGACGUGAAAUCCCCAGGCUUAACCUGGGAACUGCGUCUGAUACUGGAUGGCUUGAGUUUGGGAGAGGGAUGCGGAAUUCCAGGUGUAGCGGUGAAAUGCGUAGAUAUCUGGAGGAACACCGGUGGCGAAGGCGGCAUCCUGGACCAACACUGACGCUGAGUGAGCGAAAGCCAGGGGAGCAAACGGG